GAUGAACGCUGACAGCAUGCUUAACACAUGCAAGUCCACUUGAAUUUGGGUUUUUACCUUAGGUUUGGGUGGCGGACGGGUGAGUAACGCGUAAAGAACUUGCCUCACAGCUAGGGACAACAUUUGGAAACGAAUGCUAAUACCUAAUAUUAUGAUAAUAGGGCAUCCUAUAAUUAUGAAAGCUAUAAGCGCUGUGAGAGAGCUUUGCGUCCCAUUAGCUAGUUGGAGAGGUAACGGCUCACCAAGGCGAUGAUGGGUAGCCGGCCUGAGAGGGUGAUCGGCCACAAGGGGACUGAGACACGGCCCUUACUCCUACGGGAGGCAGCAGUGGGGAAUAUUGGACAAUGGACCGAGAGUCUGAUCCAGCAAUUCUGUGUGCACGAUGAAGUUUUUCGGAAUGUAAAGUGCUUUCAGUUGGGAAGAAACAAAUGACGGUACCAACAGAAGAAGUGACGGCUAAAUACGUG
rnacentral:rRNA from 1 species